rnacentral:lncRNA from 1 species
UUUUUUUUUUUUUUUAAAUGUCACAACACUGCAUGACCUGUAAUGCGCACAAUAUUUACAUUAGCUGCAUACAUAAAACCAUAAGAAUGCAGAAAAACAAAAAAACAAAACAAACAAAAAUCCCCAAAACUUUAUGAAUUUAAACCAACUACCUCUAUCACUCACACUAACAGAUCAAUGAGUGAGUGACAAUGUACAUACUUUACACAGGCUACUAUUGUAAAGUAUAAUGUUGGGAGAUAACAAAAGUAAUUAGCGCAAACAUUAGAUAAAUGGCUAAUCAGUACAAAUAUUCUCCAAAAGAUGACCAUAAAAACUGUGGAGGGGGAGAGAGAUAUAAACAAACAGAUAAGAAAAUAAAACGUACAUUAUCUUUAUGAAUAACAUCUGUGAAGACAAAAACAGCAGAAAAGCAGACAAGUACGAAAAAUGAGUAACAUUAACAGUUUCAAAGUAACGCACACACACUAGGUUGUAACAAAAAAAAAAAAAAAAAGUGUCAACUAAAAUACAUAAAUUGUUUCACAGAAGUUGUUUGGGAGACCAUGUUGUGAUGUUCUGCCAUGGUGUGAAAAUUAGAAAUGAACCAGACAAGGAUGAGAGAAUUGUUGACCUCAGGCCACUGUAGCUUAGUGUAGCCCUGCUGAAAUCCACCAGGUAGCAAACAUAGGAAGAAAAUCAUACCAAACUACAUUGCCUAUGUAUAUAUACAUAUAUAUAUGUACAUACCACUUAGCUUCUCAAACAUACAUAUAUAAAUAUAUACAUAUAGUAGAUUCAAUCUUUUGUUGCAAUUACAAUAAUGUAGGCUCAUUUAUUUGUAGUGUUUUUUUAUGUCUUUUUUUUCUGUUUCACAUUUUCACUUUACGUAACAUAAAUAAUUUGGUUAAUAAAAUAACUUGCAUGUUUCAGCCACAUUAAUAUAUAAUCUGUUAACAGUAUAAAUACUUCUUUUUAAAUAAAAUAAAUCUGUGAUAUGUUACAUAAUACUGAUUUAAAAAAAAAAAAAAAAAGAAAUUAAAAUUAGCUGCUGGUUGAGAGGCCAGCCACCUCACUUUCCAUGUAUUAAUACUGCGUGAUGGGUCUUGAGGGUGAAAAAAAUAAAAAUAUAACAGACAUACAUGCUUAUAAGGUUAGAAUACCAAGACAGAGAGCUUAUAACCUUCUUGACUGUUUGUAACGUAAUGCGUAGUAUAGAAAUGAACUAUAAAUUAGCAGUAUAGGCAAUAAACAUUCACUUUUGUUGUGAAUUCAAAGAGUUACAGCAAAUACCCUUUUAAGUUUAGUGGGUAGGUUUGUAACUGUAACAUAGAGAGUAGAAUUUCGCACACUGUGUAAAACUCAUAAUUAAUUCUAAAUAAACGGAAAGUCUAUAUUAUUGAGAGCUGGCCAGGCUGAAAAUAGGUGCAAUUUAAGCUCAUGUCAAUAGACAUAACACUUUUAAAGGGGAAGAACGUAAUUAAAAUGGGCCUCCUGUGCACAUCACAUAUUUUGAUGAUUUUUAUAUGACAGACAAGACUGGAGAACCAAAUAUGUAUUGAGGAAUUGAAGCUUAAUUAAACAUUGUUCCUUGGUCACAAGCGGCUAGAUCUAACAUGUCCUAUUAGACAUCUAUUGCAAUGUUUUGUACCAAAAACUAUUUUUUUUCCCCUCCAAAAUCUCUCAAUACAAUAUGAAUACAAUAUUAAGUUCUUCACUCCUUUAAAAACUUAUUUGAUUUGCCUUUUACUCACUUUAAAAGUUCAACUUAACUUAAGAUAAAAUUAUUUAAAAACAAAAAUAAACUCUAAAAAAUAUUUUGAUUUCACCUCUGUAAGUGCUGAGCAACUAUGGAGAAUACCAGAGAAAGGAAGACGCAUGUUCUUAGCUGGAAAAAGACACGAACCCCAAUCUAGUAAUUAUCAAUCUGGUACCAAAAGGGGCCAAAAUGGGCAGGGACGUAUAAAUAUUCCCAUUAGAGCAGAUAUUGAGAAAUACCUCAAUUAGGUAGACAUUGAUGGCUGAUUUGAGAAUUGCUGCACUAAUCCAAUUUGCUAAACAAAUCUUGUCAAAUUGUAAAACUUUAUCUGAUGCAAAAUCCAGAGUAAUGCAAACGGUACUUUCUGUUUAUCGAGUAUGACUUGUUAUCACUUUAUUGAGGGUAUACUUUCCUCAGUACAUUUUGCUAGGAGAAUUGCUGGCAAAUGUGUAUAAUAAGACUUACUUAAUGCCUCUUAAUCCCUCUUAACCCCUGUGCCAUUGGUAAAGACUACAAAUAAGGAGGACAGAAGUGACUGCACAGACAGCCAUACUACCCAUAAGAAUUAUAAUGGCGUCCUAUAACUCUGGCUCCUUCAAAAAGCUCUGCAACAACAGACAUUAUACCAACAUCUAGACCACAGGACAUACUCGAGAACCAGUGAAAACAAUACAUCUUUGUAGUUUAAAGUGAAUCUGUCACGACAGUGUCACAUUAAGCACCAAUACCUCAUCAGGUAAAUCAUGUAAAAUCAACCGUAUUGAUCAAUAACAUAUCUCACAGUUUAGCAAGAUAUUAGACUAAUCCCUGGAUCUGCCUACAACUUGUCCCCUUUCUGCACUUCCCCAGGGCCAAUUACCUUACUGGUGGGUGGGAGCUUUGUGGAGCCCGUUAUAAAAGGCGUGAAGGAGCAGGAGACCUUUUAUUAAAGGUUCCUCUCUUUCGCUUGUCAAGAAAUUCUGAGCACAGAGGUACAUGCAAAUUGCAUAGUCUGUUAUCUUCAAAGAGAUCUUACAGGUGUGGGAAAGAAAUUCCUUUAAAAAAAAAAAAUAUAUAAAUAUACAUUUGUUAGCAAGUCUACUAAGAUAAUGUAUCGGUUAAAUUGUAUGCUCUUCAAAUACAGUCUAAACUGUAUAUACCAUGAUAGAUAGAUAAUAAAUAUUAAUUAAUGUACUACCGAUUGGGGGGUUUGGUUAAACAUUUAUGCUAACUCACCCUUGGAUACUAAGCACUUACAGUGAGAAAAAAAACAAAAAAACUAAAAUACAUUAUUGCAGUUUGUUAAAUAAGCACUUGACAUGCAAUCACAAUUCCCUUCAGGAUUCGGCACGAAUUCACUCUCCCACAGGGACCUGAAAGAAGUUUAAAAAACAAAAACUUCUGAGCAAGGUUAAUUCUAAAUGGAGAGACAUGGAAACAACAUGAAGUGAAUGUCAUAGUUCAGAGAUUACAUAAUCAUGCCUGUCCUCUGCUGUCAAUUACAAAACAGCAUCUCUUACGUUAUCAUAGAAAAGCAUUUAGGCUGUAUCAUUAUUUACCAGUAUACACUGGUAGGCCUAUUGAAUGUGUUCUUGAUAGAAACCCAAAGAAUUUUUGUACACGAUUAUUGUACAUUAAAAGAUAGUGUGCAGUCAGUACGCGACAAUACUGUACAAUAUUUACAUUUCAAUUAUCAGCAUGAAAUUCGAG